rnacentral:rRNA from 1 species
UACAGAGGUCUCAAGCGUUGUUCGGAUUCAUUGGGCGUAAAGGGCGCGUAGGCUGCGGGGCAAGUCGGGUGUGAAAUCUCAGAGCUCAACUCUGAAACUGCACUCGAUACUGCUUUGCUUGAGGACUGGAGAGGAGAUUGGAAUUCACGGUGUAGCAGUGAAAUGCGUAGAUAUCGUGAGGAAGACCAGUGGCGAAGGCGGAUCUCUGGACCGUAGCUUCGUCGUGCUGAGGCGCGAAAGG